rnacentral:rRNA from 1 species
GUGGGGAAUAUUGGACAAUGGGCGAAAGCCUGAUCCAGCCAUGCCGCGUGUGUGAAGAAGGUCUUCGGAUUGUAAAGCACUUUAAGUUGGGAGGAAGGGUAGUAACCUAAUACGUUGCUACUUUGACGUUACCGACAGAAUAAGCACCGGCUAACUUCGUGCCAGCAGCCGCGGUAAUACGAAGGGUGCAAGCGUUAAUCGGAAUUACUGGGCGUAAAGCGCGCGUAGGUGGUUCAGUAAGUUGGAAGUGAAAUCCCCGGGCUCAACCUGGGAACUGCUUUCAAAACUGCUGAGCUAGAGUACGGUAGAGGGUGGUGGAAUUUCCUGUGUAGCGGUGAAAUGCGUAGAUAUAGGAAGGAACACCAGUGGAGAAGGCGACCACCUGGACUGAUACUGACACUGAGGUGCGAAAGCGUGGGGAGCAAACAGGAUUAGAUACCCUUGUAGUCC